rnacentral:rRNA from 1 species
CAGUAGGGAAUCUUCCACAAUGGACGAAAGUCUGAUGGAGCAACGCCGCGUGAGUGAAGAAGGGUUUCGGCUCGUAAAACUCUGUUGUUAAAGAAGAACAUAUCUGAGAGUAACUGUUCAGGUAUUGACGGUAUUUAACCAGAAAGCCACGGCUAACUACGUGCCAGCAG